UACGAAGGGUGCAAGCGUUAAUCGGAAUUACUGGGCGUAAAGCGUGCGCAGGCGGCUUCCCAAGUCAGUGGUGAAAGCCCGGAGCUCAACUCCGGAAUUGCCAUUGAAACUGUGGAGCUCGAGAACGAGAGAGGUGAGUGGAAUUCCCAGUGUAGAGGUGAAAUUCGUAGAUAUUGGGAAGAACACCAGUGGCGAAGGCGGCUCACUGGCUCGUAACUGACGCUCAUGCACGACAGCGUGGGGAUCAAACAGG
rnacentral:rRNA from 1 species